rnacentral:rRNA from 1 species
GGCGUGCCUAAUACAUGCAAGUCGAACGCACAGCGAAAGGUGCUUGCACCUUUCAAGUGAGUGGCGAACGGGUGAGUAACACGUGGACAACCUGCCUCAAGGCUGGGGAUAACAUUUGGAAACAGAUGCUAAUACCGAAUAAAACUUAGUGUCGCAUGACAAAAAGUUAAAAGGCGCUUCGGCGUCACCUAGAGAUGGAUCCGCGGUGCAUUAGUUAGUUGGUGGGGUAAAGGCCUACCAAGACAAUGAUGCAUAGCCGAGUUGAGAGACUGAUCGGCCACAUUGGGACUGAGACACGGCCCAAACUCCUACGGGAGGCUGCAGUAGGGAAUCUUCCACAAUGGGCGAAAGCCUGAUGGAGCAACGCCGCGUGUGUGAUGAAGGCUUUCGGGUCGUAAAGCACUGUUGUAUGGGAAGAACAGCUAGAAUAGGAAAUGAUUUUAGUUUGACGGUACCAUACCAGAAAGGGACGGCUAAAUACGUGCCAGCAGCCGCGGUAAUACGUAUGUCCCGAGCGUUAUCCGGAUUUAUUGGGCGUAAAGCGAGCGCAGACGGUUUAUUAAGUCUGAUGUGAAAGCCCGGAGCUCAACUCCGGAAUGGCAUUGGAAACUGGUUAACUUGAGUGCAGUAGAGGUAAGUGGAACUCCAUGUGUAGCGGUGGAAUGCGUAGAUAUAUGGAAGAACACCAGUGGCGAAGGCGGCUUACUGGACUGCAACUGACGUUGAGGCUCGAAAGUGUGGGUAGCAAACAGGAUUAGAUACCCUGGUAGUCCACACCGUAAACGAUGAACACUAGGUGUUAGGAGGUUUCCGCCUCUUAGUGCCGAAGCUAACGCAUUAAGUGUUCCGCCUGG